AGUAAUAUGAAAGAAUGACUAGAGAGGAUAUUUUAGGGUAUCAAGAAGUCAAUGGUGAUGAGACUAAAGAUUUUAAAAAAGAGGAAAACAUUAAUGGAGCGAGGUGCUUGGUCAAGCAAGAGGAGGCAAGCUGGAUCAAAAAGGUUGUCGAUCACGCCAGGACCAAUGUGAACGUGAGCCUCAGGAGCCGUGGGUGGUUGUGGAAAAUGGCUGAGGGUCAUCUACUGCUUCCUCUUCUAUCAAAGGCAACCUCCUGAAGCAGAGGGGCAGUGGGAGAGGGAAGCUUCCUGUUUUGCUGUAAUUAGUUUCUUCUUCUUUAAUAUAUAAAAAUAC